UUUUUUUUUUUUUUUCCUCUCUGUGUCGUUAGUUUUCAGGGGCUGUUGCCAUGUAUUUCUUUCCUCGGUAUAAUUGACGUGAUACUGGUGGUAUUGUGCUUAUUUAAUCCCUGAAACUUGAUGCUUAAUAUGUUUGGUUCAUGUCAUUGUCGUUGUGUAAGGAUUGUAGAUAUCAAUGGCUGUUUCUUCAGCAUGUUGUUGGAGUUUCUACUGUCUAUGUUAUUUGUUAUUGUGGGUUGUGGGCCUUUUUCUAAAGGUGACUGUCUUAUAAACACAUACAUGAGGAGCGGAGAAUAUCCAAUCCAGAGGAACUUGCAACAAAAUUUAAACUAAAACAAAAAGAAGAAACUUGGUAGUUGGGGAAGGAACUAUCACCAGCUGCUUCAAAUUGGUUGAGGA
rnacentral:misc_RNA from 1 species